CGAUUUACGAGUAGCUGCGUGUUCCGUUCAAAUUACCAAUNACGCGUGCAGCUAAUGAAUGCACAUUAUUGUAUCGUAAUAACUGAAUUCUAUACAAUACUAAUUUGAACGAUUGUUUAGCUAAUAAAUUAAAAAUAUAGUAUGAUAUAUUUUCCCGAUUAAUUUUUACAUUCAACUUUAAAUUGUUUUUACAAAAAAAAACAAUUUUCUAACAAUCGUUUUAGUUUCUUAAUUAGAUAAUAUUAUGUUAAAGAAUUGUUUUGGAUGUUGUCCCCUUCGGUAUGGUGUCAGUUUUUCUGCCAUUUUUAACAUAGUAAGUAUCAAAAACCUAUAUUUUUAUUUUUAAGUGAUUACUAUUACCUGCACGGGUACAUAUUGGAGUCUAAAAUGUUAUAGAUAAUACUACUAGAUAAAUUAACAGACUACUCUAGGGAGAUAUUAAGCCACUUGGCUUAAUAUAAUUGCAAACAAUUUAAAGCAUGAUAAUUGCAGAAAAACCAUAAACUGUCGUAGGUUUAUACAACUUGAGCUCGUUCCACCUCUGCGGAGGUAACCACUAUGUACACUUGUUUUCAAUAUUUAAUAAUGAAUGACUAUAUUAGUUGUAAAUAAUAUCCGAAGUUAUCAUUAAAUUUAAAUGACCAAUAGAUUUUAGAAAACCCUGUAAUUUAAUAUUUAUACCAUUCAUUUUAGUUUUGGAAUAUUUUGGAACUGAUUAAACACGAUUUACAUCGUACCUAUGACUAUGAUAGAAAGAUUAUAAAACCUUUGAAUUCUACAAGGAAAGAAUUUAACACGACAGAAUAUGAGU